UGCUGCAAUGCACAUUUCCUG
rnacentral:piRNA from 1 species